GGGUGCGUAACGCGUGGGAACCUACAUCUUGGUGAGGAAUAACACAGAGAAAUUUGUGCUAAUACCUCAUAAUCCCUCCGGGGCAAAGAUUUAUCGCCAAGGGAUGGGCCCGCGUUAGAUUAGAUAGUUGGUGAGGUAAAAGCUCACCAAGUCGACGAUCUAUAGCUGGUCUUAGAGGACGAUCAGCCACACUGGUACUGAGACACGGACCAGACUCCUACGGGAGGCAGCAGUGAGGAAUAUUGCGCAAUGGGGGCAACCCUGACGCAGCCAUGCCGCGUGAGUGAAGAAGGCCUUAGGGUUGUAAAGCUCUUUCAGAUGCGAAGAUAAUGACGGUAACAUCAGAAGAAGCUCCGGCUAAAUUCGUGCCAGCAGCCGCGGUAAUACGAAUGGAGCGAGCGUUGUUCGGAAUCACUGGGCGUAAAGCGUAUGUAGGCGGAUUUGCAAGUCAGAAGUGAAAUCCUGGGGCUCAACCCCAGAACUGCUUUUGAAACUGCAAGUCUAGAGUCCCGGAGGGGCCAGCGGAAUUCCGAGUGUAGAGGUGAAAUUCGCAGAUAUUCGGAGGAACACCAGUGGCGUAGGCGGCUGGCUGGACGGGUACUGACGCUGAGAUACGAAAGCGUGGGGAGCAAACAGGAUUAGAUACCCUGGUAGUCCACGCCGUAAACGAUGUGUGCUAGUUGUCGGGCAGUUUACUGUUCGGUGACGCAGCUAACGCAUUAAGCACACCGCCUGGGGAGUACGGUCGCAAGAUUAAAACUCAAAGGAAUUGACGGGGACCCGCACAAGCGGUGGAGCAUGUUG
rnacentral:rRNA from 1 species